AACCAGCACCUCAAGUGGUCAGGAUGAUUAUUGGGCCUAAAGCAUCCGUAGCCGGCUCUGUAAGUUUUCGGUUAAAUCUGUACGCUCAACGUACAGGCUGCCGGGAAUACUGCAGAGCUAGGGAAUGGGAGAGGUAGGCGGAAUACAUCAUGUAGCGGUGAAAUGCUUAGAUAUGAUGUAGAACACCGAUUGCGAAGGCAGCUUACUAGACCAAUAUUGACGCUCAUGCACGAAAGCGUGGGGAGCAAACAGG
rnacentral:rRNA from 1 species